GCAAUAGGAAUCGUAAUUUUCUUGUCAUCCACAAAUAUUUUAUAAAUUUUAUUCUAAACUCGACAUUAGUUAAAAUGAGACAUUUAAAGUUCAAACUUAUUUAUAUCAAUUCUGACACAUAAAAUACAUUCAGGCUUUUGAAAAUAAUGAAAAUCACUAUAAUAUUGAUUCACUGUCGAAGUAUAUCCCGUAGCCUAUGUAUCUAACCCAAAAAUACAGUCUCCAUCAUCAAUGAAAUUUCUUGCGAAUAAAAACACUUAGGUGAAGCUCACAGCACCAAAAAUUAAAAUAUAAUUUUUAUUUAAAAAAGUUCGGAUGUUCCAUUUUGUAUCCAUAACAGUGUUAAGCAUCGGACCUUUCUGCUCUGGAUCUCGAUUUCUCUGUUCUCCUGUCUCUGUCAUAAAUCCACUUCACAGGUUGCUCCUUAGCAGUCUCAGAAAUGGCAGCCUCCAUUUCCAAUACAUGGGAGCAGCGUGGAGUGGUGAUCGACCCGUUCAGCAUACAGAGUGGAGCUUUCCCUUUUUUAAGGUGUAAAGGUUCAUCAAGCAGUGGGUUAUGGUUGGGCGAUUCAGAAGAAAAGCUCACUUCUCCCUUUUCCAGGAUCCUUAGGAUCCUCACAAUUAAUGCGAUUAUCAGGUCUCGGUUGGAUAGAGAGAGUCAAAGACUUUUGCGCGUCUUCUACACGCGCUCUUGCUUGCUGCAAUUUGGAAGCCGCCGGAUCCUUUUCUAUGGAAGCAGCCGGUACUCUAGGGGGGAGUGCCGGUUUUUAUUAGAGGAAAAGCUGAUAACACCUGAUUAUCUUGACUCUGGGUUAGUUUUGCGGCUAACCAAGCUCCAAAUCUCAAAGGGUAACCAAAUUCUCCUCCAUGAUUCAAGACCUCCGCCCACUCAAUGCUAUUUCUUAUGAUGUGCCCAAUUCUUCCACAAAAAUAACAGAAUAUAGGGAGUUUUUCAUAUUUAAAUUUAAUCCACUCACUUCUAGAUCCAUCUUUGGUAUGGUGGACGCCCGUUAAAAACGGCUUAUUGACCUGGAUCCAAACCUUUAUCCUGAAAUAGGACCUUCACUCUGAAACUAUUUUCUCAAAUUCAUCAGUCUUUAUCAAACCUUCAAAGAGUCCCCCAAUUCUUCUGGCCUUUUCCUCAUUCCAGGUGCUGGGUGGGAGGCCAUGAACUUGUAUCUAGCAGCCAUUAGUAGAGAAAUUCACUUCUUGGAGUGGUGGUAUAGAAAGGAUUAAAUGAUAAUAAGGCUGAAGUUAAAAAGUAGAGAAAGCGACUUGGUCGAAGAAAACAGAGGACUCCUCAAUAAGGAGAGAAUUCUAUUACAUUGGACCACUUGCACUAGAUUAAUGUUUUU
rnacentral:misc_RNA from 1 species